GGGACCGAGGGGGGUAUAGCAUUUUACAUUUAAAAGGAAUUCAAGACUCUGCCCUUUCAUAUACUGAACCCUAAAAAUUCUGAGACAAUACUUUUUAUGGAACUUCAAUCAUGGUGGUUUAUGGUUCAACUCUUUUAUUCAGGACCUUCAAAAGCUUUGAAGAAAUCGCUGCUGACUAUGAAAAAGGAGAACUGCAUCCAGCAGACCUCAAACCUUCUCUAUCAAAGGCUUUAAAUAAGAUUUUGCAGCCUGUGAGAGAUCAUUUUGCAAAUGAUGCUACUGCCAGGGAUCUUCUGAAAAAAGUUAAGUCUUACAGAGUUGGCAGGUGAUGCAGUAGAGAGUCCAGAUACUUGUUUGGGUGGUUGCUGCAAACUCAGAACUUAUGGUUUAACCAGUCAGGCAUUUGAAUACCGAAUGUCCAUGGAACUGGGGUCUUUUUUUUUGAAAAACUUGAGUUAUUGACCAUAAAUUUACAAGCCAGGUAUAUUCUUUUCUAGAUAAAUGAAAAGUGGGAUUCGAAGUUCAGGUUUUAUUUGGAGUGCGAGCCUAAAUUCUUGGUUGUAACUUUGCUUGCUUUGUUCAUACAUUUUUGGCUUCCCUGAAAAAAUGUAGUUGUUUGGGAUGGAGGACAAAAGUUGAAAAUUAA